CAAGUAGUGGCGCAAUGUAUAAUGUGUCUGACUAUGGCUCAGAAGAUUCUAGGUUUGAAUCCUGGCUGGCUUGA